UGUAGCACUAAUGGAGACCACGGCCUUGCGGAGCAGUGCAAGCUCCCUUUCUGGGACAUAUAUCCACCAAACUGUCUCUGAUUGUGUACUAACUUGUCCUUUACAGGAACUAUUCACAAAUCCAUGUACUUUACCAUGGAUCUCUGCAAGCUUGAUGGGCAAUGAUAUUGCAGUUACUCUAGGUAACAUUUUGACUCCUAAUAUUUUUCCUCAUCAGAAAGGCUUCUCUCCAAUCAAUCUAAGACACUCACAAAAGCUUUUCAACAUGGCACAUGCA
rnacentral:lncRNA from 1 species